UACGGAGGGGGGCUAGCGUUGUUCGGAAUUACUGGGCGUAAAGCGCACGUAGGCGGCUUUGUAAGUUAGAGGUGAAAGCCCGGGGCUCAACUCCGGAAUUGCCUUUAAGACUGCAUCGCUAGAAUUGUGGAGAGGUAAGUGGAAUUCCGAGUGUAGAGGUGAAAUUCGUAGAUAUUCGGAAGAACACCAGUGGCGAAGGCGACUUACUGGACACAUAUUGACGCUG
rnacentral:rRNA from 1 species